GGGGCAGGGUGUGGCGCCCCCGGGGCGCUCGGUGCCGGGCUCCGUCGGCCCGUCCUGCUCCCUCAAGGACUCGCUGACUCCUCCUGCAGGUCUUGCUUCUCUCCUCUCUUCAAAGCGUGCGCUUCACCUCCCUGUACAGAAACCGAGGGGAGCCGGUGCCACGCCAUCGUGAGAAACCCAGAGCUGUCCUGGCAGCCGUGUCGUGCGUGUGCUUUUAAAACAGCAUCUGUUUGAGAGCUGAGACUGCCUGUUCCCCAUGAAGGAAGCGGGCCGAUAAGGCUUAUCGCCUUGGCCCGAGCUCUUCCAUCUCUCCGGCAUUAGUCUGAGCCGUGGUGCCACGGGAGAAGGCUGCAGAGAUAGCACAGCGCCAGGCCCUUUCUGGUUGCCACUGGAUUCAAGGAGAGGUAUUUACUGAAAUGCUUAGCGUAACAGCUGGGGGAGAAGAGCGAUCGUCAAAUGAAACGAUGAGGUGGCAGGUUUGAAAGAAGAUACCUCUUCACACAAAACAGAUCUUGGAAGUUACUGCUACAGGAUGUCAGGAAGCAGUUCAAAAAGCAAUUAAGCACGAUCAUGGAAGAAAAAUCUGCGCAGGGGUGUUCAGCACAAACACCUCUGAUCCUCUGAUUCAGGAACUCUUUGAGGUGCAAAUCCGCAUCCUGCGGAAACAUUUUGGGGAGCAGCCUCCCCUGUGCACAUGCUGUCAUUAGGCAAUUACUGCUGGCUGCUCUGGAAGUAGUCCUGGACUGGACUUGAAAUGCUGCUCUUCUGACCCAACACAGUCAUCCCUACAUUUAACUGUCAUUUCAUUCACCAUGGGUUUUUUCCCCCCCAAUUUUUAAAAAGUCAUAGACAACAAUUCUUGCAAUGAAUCUUUGUGACACAGAAAUGCUCUUUCUUUAUGCUCUGUACCACUGCUGUUCUUUCCUGCCUGUUACUUCGAUUGAGGGAUGGAAGGUUGCUUUGCUCUGUGUUUGUAUAAUACCACAUUAUCAAGCUGAGCGCUGGUCCGUGCCUGUAUUUCCUAGUUAAAUAUUUGAUAUAAAUAAAUAUUAAUAAUCUCUA